rnacentral:ncRNA from 2 species
GGACGGACCUCUGGAGAGACCAGGUAUGGCGCCGAAGGGGCAAGCCCGUUAUGGGUGUAUCUCUCAGGCAAAAGGACAGAGGAUUCAGG